AUACGGAGGGUGCAAGCGUUAAUCGGAAUUACUGGGCGUAAAGCGCACGCAGGCGGUCUGUCAAGUCGGAUGUGAAAUCCCCGGGCUCAACCUGGGAACUGCAUUCGAAACUGGCAGGCUAGAGUCUUGUAGAGGGGGGUAGAAUUCCAGGUGUAGCGGUGAAAUGCGUAGAGAUCUGGAGGAAUACCGGUGGCGAAGGCGGCCCCCUGGACAGAGACUGACGCUCAGGUGCGAAAGCGUGGGGAGCAAACAGGAUUAGAUACCCUGGUAGUCCACGCCGUAAACGAUGUCGACUUGGAGGUUGUGCCCUUGAGGCGUGGCUUCCGGAGCUAACGCGUUAAGUCGACCGCCUGGGGAGUACGGCCGCAAGGUUAAA
rnacentral:rRNA from 1 species